rnacentral:lncRNA from 1 species
CCUGACAUGUAUUAGAUGGGCGCCUCUUGUACCUGCUUAAAGGGGCUGAUCAUAUAACUCUUGGUGCCCCAACUGCCUGACAUAUAUUUGAUGGGUGCCUUUUAUACCUACUUAAAGAGGCUGAUCAUAUGCCAUUUAUAUCUGAUUUUAAUUGAAAUAAAUCAAAUUAAAAAGGCAGAGGAUUCUUAUGAGAUAAGGAUCUACCUUUUUAAGAUAAUUGGGUUCCUACU